UGUGGCUCAGUGACAGAGUGCUUGCCUUACAAGCAUGAGGCACUGGGUUUGAUACUCAGCA
rnacentral:tRNA from 1 species